rnacentral:rRNA from 1 species
UUCAAGAUUCUAAGAGCAAACGGUGGAUGCCUUGGCAUCUGGAGCCGAAGAAGGACGUAUAAAUCUGCGAUAAGCCUCGGGGAGCUGAUAAUAGAGCUGUGAUCCGAGGAUCUCCGAAUGGGGAAACCCCGCCAGGCCCUUUGGGUGACCUGGUGACUCCCGCCUGAAUAUAUAGGGCGGGUAGAGGGAACGUGGGGAAGUGAAACAUCUCAGUACCCACAGGAAGAGAAAGCAAAAGCGAUUCCGUUAGUAGUGGCGAGCGAAACCGGAAGAGGCCAAACCGAUCAUGUGUGAUAUCCGGUAGGAGUUGCAUGGUCGGGGUUGCGGGACUUUCCGUACAGUUCUACCGAGCUGUGAGGGCAAUGAGCGCGAUAUAGACGAAUGGUCUUGAAAGGCCAGUCAUAGAGGGUGCGAACCCCGUAGUCGAAAUGUCGUCGCCUGUCCGGAGAGUAUCCCAAGUAGCACGGGGCCCGAGAAAUCCCGUGUGAAUCUGUCAGGACCACCUGAUAAGCCUAAAUACUCCCAGAUGACCGAUAGCGGACAAGUACCGUGAGGGAAAGGUGAAAAGUACCCCGGGAGGGGAGUGAAAUAGUACCUGAAACCGUUUGCUUACAAACCGUUGGAGCACCCUUGUUGGUGUGACAGCGUGCCUUUUGAAGAAUGAGCCUGCGAGUUAGUGAUAUGUGGCGAGGUUAACCCGUGAGGGGCAGCCGUAGCGAAAGCGAGUCUUAAUAGGGCGUAUGAGUCGCAUGUUCUAGACCCGAAGCGAAGUGAUCUAUCCAUGGCCAGGUUGAAGCGACGGUAAGACGUCGUGGAGGACCGAACCCACUUCAGUUGAAAAUGGAGGGGAUGAGCUGUGGAUAGGGGUGAAAGGCCAAUCAAACUUCGUGAUAGCUGGUUCUCUCCGAAAUGCAUUUAGGUGCAGCGUUGCGUGUUUCUUGCCGGAGGUAGAGCUACUGGAUGGACGAUGGGCCCCAAAAGGUUACUGACUUCAGCCAAACUCCGAAUGCCGGUAAGUGAGAGCGCAGCAGUGAGACGGUGGGGGAUAAGCUUCAUCGUCGAGAGGGAAACAACCCAGACCACCAUCUAAGGUCCCUAAGCGCGUGCUAAGUGGGAAAGGAUGUGGAGUUGCAUAGACAACCAGGAGGUUGGCUUAGAAGCAGCCACCCUUGAAAGAGUGCGUAAUAGCUCACUGGUCAAGUGAUUCCGCGCCGACAAUGUAACGGGGCUCAAGCACGCCACCGAAGUUGUGGCAUUUAUAUUAUAGGCAGGCCUUCGUGGUCCAGCCGUAUGGAUGGGUAGGAGAGCGUCGUGUGGCCAGCGAAGCGGCGGUGUGAACCAGCCGUGGAGGCCACACGAGUGAGAAUGCAGGCAUGAGUAGCGAAAGACGGGUGAGAAACCCGUCCUCCGAAAGACCAAGGGUUCCAGGGCCAGGCUAAUCCGCCCUGGGUAAGUCGGGACCUAAGGCGAGGCCGACAGGCGUAGUCGAUGGACAACGGGUUGAUAUUCCCGUACCGAUGAAGAACCGCCNNNNNNNNNNNNNNNNNNNNNNNNNNNNNNNNNNNNNNNNNNNNNNNNNNNNNNNNNNNNNNNNNNNNNNNNNNNNNNNNNNNNNNNNNNNNNNNNNUUGAUUCGAUCCCUUCGGGGUGACGGUCUUGGCCUAGCACACGACCCUACGCUGGGGCGUUUAGCGUAUUAACAGGUGUGACGCAGGAAGGUAGCUGAGCCGGGCGAUGGUUGUCCCGGUCUAAGGAUGUAGGGCAGAAGAUAGGCAAAUCCGUCUUCUAUGUAGCCUGAGACCCGAUGGGUAGUCCUCACGGACGAAAUCAGUGAUCCUAUGCUGCCGAGAAAAGCAUCGACGCGAGGUUCCAAUCGCCCGUACCCCAAACCGACUCAGGUGGUCAGGUAGAGAAUACUAAGGAGAUCGAGAGAAUCGUGGUUAAGGAACUCGGCAAAAUGCCCCCGUAACUUCGGGAGAAGGGGGGCCUGAGGCGUGUAGGGAUUUACUCCUGAAGCGUUUGAAGGCCGCAGAGACCAGUGGGAAGCGACUGUUUACUAAAAACACAGGUCCGUGCUAAGUCGCAAGACGAUGUAUACGGACUGACGCCUGCCCGGUGCUGGAAGGUUAAGAGGAACGGUUAGCACGCAAGUGCGAAGCUGAGAAUUUAAGCCCCAGUAAACGGCGGUGGUAACUAUAACCAUCCUAAGGUAGCGAAAUUCCUUGUCGGGUAAGUUCCGACCUGCACGAAUGGCGUAACGACUUCCCAGCUGUCUCAACCGCGAACUCGGCGAAAUUGCACUACGAGUAAAGAUGCUCGUUACGCGCAGCAGGACGGAAAGACCCCGUGACCUUUACUACAGCUUGGUAUUGGUGUUCGGUGUGGCUUGUGUAGGAUAGGUGGGAGACUGUGAAGCUCGGACGCUAGUUCGGGUGGAGUCAUUGUUGAAAUACCACUCUGGUCACUCUGGAUAUCUAACUUCGAACCGUAAUCCGGUUCAGGGACAGUGCCUGGUGGGUAGUUUAACUGGGGCGGUUGCCUCCUAAAGAGUAACGGAGGCGCCCAAAGGUUCCCUCAACCUGGUUGGUAAUCAGGUGUCGAGUGUAAGUGCACAAGGGAGCUUGACUGUGAGACUGACAAGUCGAGCAGGGACGAAAGUCGGGACUAGUGAUCCGGCAGUGGCUUGUGGAAGCGCUGUCGCUCAACGGAUAAAAGGUACCUCGGGGAUAACAGGCUGAUCUUGCCCAAGAGUCCAUAUCGACGGCAUGGUUUGGCACCUCGAUGUCGGCUCGUCGCAUCCUGGGGCUGGAGUAGGUCCCAAGGGUUGGGCUGUUCGCCCAUUAAAGCGGUACGCGAGCUGGGUUUAGAACGUCGUGAGACAGUUCGGUCCCUAUCCGCUGCGCGCGUAGGAAAUUUGAGAAGAUCUAUCCCUAGUACGAGAGGACCGGGAUGGACGAACCUCUGGUGUGUCAGUUGUUCCGCCAGGAGCACCGCUGAUUAGCUACGUUCGGAACGGAUAACCGCUGAAAGCAUCUAAGCGGGAAGCCGGCUUCGAGAUGAGAUUUCCAUCCCUUUCAGGGUGAAGGCUCCCGGCUAGACUACCGGGUUGAUAGGCAGGAUGUGGAAGCGAGGACUAAAGACUCGUGGAGCUGACCUGUACUAAUAAGCCGAUAUCUUGAAAACAC